GACGUAGGGCGCGAGCGUUGUCCGGAUUUAUUGGGCGUAAAGAGCUCGUAGGCGGCUUGUCGCGUCGACUGUGAAAUCCCGCGGCUCAACUGCGGGUCUGCAGUCGAUACGGGCAGGCUAGAGUUCGGUAGGGGAGACUGGAAUUCCUGGUGUAGCGGUGAAAUGCGCAGAUAUCAGGAGGAACACCGGUGGCGAAGGCGGGUCUCUGGGCAAUAACUGACGCUGAGGAGCGAAAGCGUGGGGAGCGAACAGGG
rnacentral:rRNA from 1 species